AGAGGAAGUAAAAGUCGUAACAAGGUUUCCCGUAGGUGAACCUGCGGAAGGAUCAUUACUGAAUUGUCAAACGGGUUGUUGCUGGCCCUCAUAGGGGGCAUGUGCACGCUCUGUUUACACAUCCACUCACACCUGUGCACCCUCUGUAGUUCUAUGGUCUGGGGGACCCUGUCUUCCUUCUGUGGUUCUACGUCUUUACACACACACUGUAACAAAGUUUUAUGGAAUGUACAUCGCGUCUAACGCAAUACAAUACAACUUUCAGCAACGGAUCUCUUGGCUCUCGCAUCGAUGAAGAACGCAGCGAAAUGCGAUAAGUAAUGUGAAUUGCAGAAUUCAGUGAAUCAUCGAAUCUUUGAACGCACCUUGCGCCCCUUGGCUAUUCCGAGGGGCAUGCCUGUUUGAGUAUCAUGAACACCUCAACUCUCAUGGUUUGCCAUGAUGAGUUGGACUCUGGGGGUUUUGCUGGCCUGUGGUCGGCUCCUCUCAAAUUAAUCAGCCUCCCAGUGUUUGGUGGCAUCACGGGUGUGAUAAAUAUAUACGCUCGCUG
rnacentral:rRNA from 1 species